rnacentral:rRNA from 1 species
AGCGAACGCUGGCGGCAGGCCUAACACAUGCAAGUCGAGCGGCCGUAGCAAUACGGCAGCGGCAGACGGGAUAGUAACACGUGGGAACGCGCCCUUCGGUUCGGAAUAACUCAGGGAAACUUGAGCUAAUACCGGAUACGCCCUUACGGGGAAAGGAUUAUUGCCGAAGGAACGGCCCGCGUCGGAUUAGCUAGUUGGUGAGGUAAUGGCUCACCAAGGCGACGAUCCGUAGCUGGUCUGAGAGGAUGACCAGCAUCACUGGGAC